GCAUGGACAAUGACGGAGUCAUAUUUGUACUUUACCUGGAGUGACCUGAGUGAGUGUGUUAUGUGGUGUUCUCCCAUCCAAUCAAGAUUUUUCUUGGGAGUGCUAAUGAUGAGAUUUGUUCUAUAUAGUUUGAGUAUGGGAAGUCUCUGGGACAGGAAACUAUCCCUCCAGCAUGUUGCGUUUAAAAAGAAUUUGCCAAAGGGAGCAGACACCACCCUCCAGACAUCCUACACAAAAUUUAUCUGGCCCACAGUAUUAACUGUUGAUGGCAUGGGAGGACAAAGUGUCUGAUGUGCACAUUUGGGGCUUAAACUGAAGUGCAGAUAAGUACAGAAUUGCACACCACCUGAGAAGAGCAACAAGACAGAAGAUAAGGUACAUUCCUUAGACACUAAGCAUGGAGCAGAACUUUUAACCAUAUAAAAGCCUUGUGACUGACCGCCUCCUAGGGCCAAGAAGGUGCUGCACUCUAGCAUCCAAGUCACCUGCUGUCACCACCACCCAGGGAGAUGUAUGACAACAGUUCAGUCCACAGCAUGCAGUUCACUCAUGGAAAGAUUUCUAAUAUCUGGGAUUGCUUGGUUCUGUUUUGUGGGGUUGGGAGGGUGGCCUAAUGGUUAAGGUGUUUGCCUUACAAACAUAAGGUGCAGGGUUUGAGUCUCACAAGGGAUAAUUGGCUAGGCUUAAAAUGGCGCGCAAGGGCAGUUAACCUAGUACUAAUCUGCGAACCUAUAUAAAAUCAUGACCAGUAAAGUAGAAGAAACCACUACCAUGGCAGCAGGUCCUCCACUUCAAUCAACCCUUGGAAGAGAGGCAAGGUAUUACUUUAAUGCAAGAGAUCAUAACCAUCUUAGUCUCAGGAUAUGCCAUUAGGCCUAAGCUACCCACUUGCCCAUUGCAAACAAUGUAUUCUUAAUAUGCCAUUUCAAAACUGCAAGCCCCAGGCAUCCGCCUAAAGAGGCUUUGAGACAAGCAGAUUGCUCAGACAGCCUGAAGAUCACAAACUAGGACUGGCUGCUAGCAGCCUCCAAGAUUUGUAUUGGAUAACCCAAGCUGGAUCUCAGAUCUUCAAAGUAGGCUCAUGUCAGGUACUCUUGCUCAAGUGUUUAGGGGUCCCAAUGCUACACCUUCUUUGCACCCCCCCCCAGAACCACCAGAUCUGAAACCUCAGAAAAAUUCAGGCUUUGGUACAGUAGACUUAACUUUAAUAUUGCAGUAAAGGGACAUCUAAAUAAGAAGUUUUAAAUUAUUUGGUUUACUGGCACUAUUCUACAGCAGACCACCCAACAGAACCAAGCAAUCCAAGUAGUGCACAGUAACAGGGCAAAACUGAAAUGCCCUUGGUGUGAAGGUCACAUUCUCAUGUCAGUCCAAACUACCCUGCCACAUCAAGUGGCAUUCAUUUUCAGCACACCAGAAUCCACUCGACUAAAACGGGGACAUAUCUAUGCAUAGACCAAACCAACAGAUAUCCAUUUGUGUAGCCACCCAAUGCACCAACAAAAAUCUAAAUAUCUGCUAUCAAGCUGACUGGUAUCCACAAGUUACACAACCUGGGAAAGGAUCAAUAGUUGCAAUUUGUGAACUAACCACUGAUCAGGAAAAACCACCCCAGAUUACUACAAAACCUGGAAACAAUUCAGGACCUUGUAUGUGCAGGCUGACCAGCAAGAUGAUCAAACAGUUGCCCAUAUACCUCUAAAUGGAAAAAUGCAUCCUCACACAGUGCAAACACAAAGGACACUUACCAGAUUGAAAUCUACCAACUCUCCAUCCUUUUACUUUGAUUUAUGAAAACUUGCCAGGAAACCCCCAACAUGGCAAGGUGGCCAUUUAUUUAGGGACUCAAAACAUACCCUGUUGAGUGUAACGUGAACCUCGCCUCGAAAAGCAAGUGCUCGAACUUGCAUCAAAAAUGUGUCGGUGAGGCACAUACCUGUGUCGUGUAAAAUACGAGUUACAAGUGCAAAUAGCCGUUUCACACCAAAAUCGAGACGUCAAUGCUGUAACAGCGGUUUAAUAGCAACGUUUAAAAAAAUGAACAUAGGACAAUUAAUCUUUCCUGUCUUAACAAAGGCUUUAUCGGCUUGCUUGUCAAUGAUACAAA